rnacentral:rRNA from 1 species
UACGGGGGGGGCAAGCGUUGUUCGGAAUUACUGGGCGUAAAGGGUUCGUAGGUGGCCAACUAAGUCAGACGUGAAAUCCCUCAGCUUAACUGGGGAACUGCGUCGGAUACUGGAUGGCUUGAAUUCGGGAGAGGGAUGCAGAAUUCCAGGUGUAGCGGUGAAAUGCGUAGAUAUCUGGAGGAAUACCGGUGGCGAAGGCGGCAUCCUGGACCGACAUUGACGCUGAGGAGCGAAAGCUAGGGGAGCAAACGGG